UUAUAAAUGGUAAGAUGCUGUAUACCGUUAAGUUCAACACUGGAAAGUCCAAUGCUGUCUGGCCUUUUUCCAGAGUUCAUAGAACAGGAUCUGUGCACAAGCCUGCAGGGAAAGCCGUGUCAGCUCCCUUUGACUACAAAGAAAAACACUGAUUCUAUCAAAACACUUCUGAAAGAGCUUAUGGACCAUUUUCUUCAGUUACAACCAGAGAGAAAGAUUACAAAGUGCUCUAUAAGUAAGGUAAUGCUAUCCCAGUUACAUCAGUUGUCCUGAAAUAAUUCUUAGUAACACCUCCCUUCAUUUUCAAGUUUUGUGAUUUUCAUGAUGAACAUCUGGAAGAUUUCCUCUGUGUUUGAAAAUACAAAAGAACAGAAAGCCAAUGAUACACACCAAUCCUAGUUUAAGUCAACAAUGAAGGCUGGAUUGUUCUGGAGUCUCUGUGAAGAAUGAGUUUGAGAUAAACAUACUUCUUAAUUUCAUUGAAAAUGGAAUCAGAAGACUGAAGAUGAUCCCCAAUCAAGAAUGAAGAAAAUUGGAAACUGAGACAUGGAAUUCCAGUAUUUGUUAAUAUUCUUUCUUACAUAUUCUCCAUCCAUGGGAAAAAUUCUAAGAUCAUGCAUGAGAUUAUCAGUGUUGGUAAACUACUGCUACACUUCGAGGAAACAAGUGAGGUAUCUUUGUAAGGAUUUGGAGACUGCCAACGAGGAUAGAAAUUUGAAAACCCAUGUGAAUUUUAAUCUGCGUUGAACACAAAUUUGAACAUGUUUCUUCAAGUUUUUUGUAAAAUAGACUCAAGGUACAAAUUUUAUUUUUUGUUUUAUUUAAAUUAUAAUCAUUAACAUAUGGAAACCAAGAGAAGAGUCAAACGGUGAAGAGAAUUUUGUAACAUGAGAUGUUUGAUAUUCUGCCAUUUUCUGUUAUAUCACUCAUUACUUAGAGGCCAGCAGCCUGACUGGCUUCUGUCCGUAGCUAACAAGUACAGGCAUUUCACCUGGAUGCCCUACUUGCAAAAUCAUCUAAAGGCACAACUUUCAACAACAGUGUUGAUCACAAAAUACAUUUCAAUUGUUUUGCAAACAAACUUUCUUCCGAUUAAUAAUUAAACAGAGGAACAGCUUGCAGUAUAUGCUUGGAAAUAAUUUCAGUAUAUAUAGUGGGAAAUGACAAGCACAUAUGAAGAUGUGACUGAAGCCUGGUAACAUUUAAAUAUUCAGCUUUUCCUCUGUUACCUUGACUGGAGUAAAGUUGUUUCCCAAGGUAAAAACUAAGUGGUCUGCCGGCAUAUGGUCUAACCUCCAUUUGAGUGCUAAAAGCUGGAUACUGUUUUUGUGAAACAGAUGUUGUUGAGUGCAGCAAUGCACAACUGACUCUAGCUAACAGCUGGGAAUCCUUCGUGACCCAUAUAGCGAGAAAUAAACAUGGUCCUAUGCUUGGCAAAAGUGUAAGAAAGCAAAUUUCCAUUUGUUAAGAGCUUAUCAAAAUGAAGAAUAAAUGUUUUUAGCCAUAAACUGAUUUUAUUCACCAGAGUAAUCUUUCCAGCAGCUUAUGUGAUGGCCUCAUAAUAUCACAGGCACCCUUUGCCAGAUGAAGGCUGCAGUUGCACUGACAUAUAGUACAGAUGGAAAAUAAACAUCUGCCUCAAUCAGCAGAGAAGACCAAGGACAAGGUUGACGAAUAUUAUCUGGCAUGACUAUCUUUGUGGGGAAGCAUAUAAAUGUUACAGGACCAAAACCACUGGCAUCGUCUGGUGUUGUCCUUAUGUGGUUACUGACCAUGAAGAGAGAUGAUUAGUAUGCGCUCUCCAAGGAGGAGUGCUGCAGAUGCUCAGGAUGCUAUGACUCCAGCUCUCCGGGAUCUGCUUUGCUGUAGCCACACCAUACGAGUCUCAGAGCAAUUCCAUUUUAUUUUUAUUCAUGGUUCGGCUGCAUUUAUUGUCCUGAAAGUUUCUUUUCUUGUCAUUGGAAGUGACAAGUGAGGGGAGGAGGGAAAAAGAAGACGAGCUAAUUUGGAAAAAGAUUUAAAAAACCCUUUUUUCAUAGCCACAGGAAAAUGUCAACAAAGACAACUCCAAAUACAAACGAUUUCCUUCCCAUGGGGACUAAACUCGAGCGUUACAGUUGUGAAGUACUACAUUUUAUCUGCACAGGCCAACCUCACUUUGCAGCUCCUGGGUAGAAUAGCAUAGACUCUUAGAGAAAGACACACAGGCACAUCCACACAUGGACAUGCACACACACACACACACACACACAUGCACACACACGCAUGCACACACACACACAGAUGGACACACACACACAUGCUGCCGUCCCAGCACUAAGUUGCUUUUGUCCUCACUGCAACCAAAUGAUUCAUGUGGCACAAAUAAUAUGACAGAUGUAGCUUUAAAAAUUCAGUUUUAUUGCAAGUAUCUUUUUGACUGAACCUUCUUUCAUUUUCUGGUAUCUCUUGUGACCAUAUGGAGUUUAGAUGGCAGUGAAUUCCCUUCUACUAACUCAAACCCUUUUCUGCACCUGGGCACAAUUUUGGACAAAGAAGUAAAGAAAAUGGAAAAAAGUAUCAGACUUAAUAUUCAGCUUGAAUUACAAGCAAAAAACAUACCUUUUCCUUUUUGUAGAGAAACAAUUUCGGGACUACAGUUUUGUCAGAAUUUUAUUUGUAAAAGCAGUGUGCUAGAGAAUUCUGUCUAUAGAUUUUGGUUAUUACUUUCACUUGAAUGACAGAAAGAAAUAAAAGAAAUUUGCUUAGAUUCUUAGAUUUUAAUAAUCUAUUAGAAGCAAUUAUAAUAAUAACUUCUGUUUUACUUCAAAGUUUAGAAGGAGAAUGAUUGUCAAACGUCAGAACCCCAACACCAAUUUGCUGUUUACUAUGUAUCAAAUACUGUACUUAGUUCUUUAAACACACUAAUGUUUAAUAUUCAUAAAGUCCUGAAUGAAUUAGAUACCAUAAGCAUUAUCUGCAUUUUACAAAGGAGAGUUUUGAAACAGAAGUAAUUCAUCCAAAGUCACACUGCUAAUAGUGGUAGAACUAGCCUUUGCUCUGAGGGGGUUGACUCUAUGCUGCAGAUCAUGUUGCUAUGUGUAGUUUAAGAAAUUAAAGCUAGCUUGAUAAUAAAUAUCAACAAAAGUUCUUUUCAGUUACCUCAUUAAUAUGAACUGUAUUUGGUGUAAUACUCAAAAAGGUAUUUCAUUUAAUUAUUUUAUUACAUUAGAUUUUAGUUGUUCACAAAAGUAAC